AACGAACGCUGGCGGCAGGCUUAACACAUGCAAGUCGAACGCAUCGCAAGAUGAGUGGCAGACGGGUGAGUAACGCGUGGGAACAUACCCUUUUCUACGGAAUAGCUCUGGGAAACUGGAAUUAAUACCGUAUACGCCCUACGGGGGAAAGAUUUAUCGGGGAAGGAUUGGCCCGCGUUGGAUUAGCUAGUUGGUGGGGUAAAGGCCUACCAAGGCGACGAUCCAUAGCUGGUCUGAGAGGAUGAUCAGCCACAUUGGGACUGAGACACGGCCCCAACUCCUACGGGAGGCAGCAGUGGGGAAUAUUGGACAAUGGGCGCAAGCCUGAUCCAGCCAUGCCGCGUGAGUGAUGAAGGCCUUAGGGUUGUAAAGCUCUUUCACCGAUGAAGAUAAUGCCGGUAGUCGGAGAAGAAGCCCCGGCUAACUUCGUGCCAGCAGCCGCCGUAAGAC
rnacentral:rRNA from 1 species